GAGCAGACAUAGAGAAAAGACAAAGGACCAGAGGAGGACAGGAAGACGAAGAUCAGCAGCAGGCUGUAACUCUGCUCAUGACAGGACAAUGGCCUGUUUUCGGGGCAACCGGGAGGAGUUUUACGGAGAAGUGCUUCUACUGGACAACAGGAAGCUGACACUGACGGUCGAACAGGGCAUCAAGAGAUCAUCGAAGGCGGCCUCCGUCUUGCAGCUGGUGUUUGUUGAGCUAGGCGUGGUCGAGGUUGAGUUCUUCGGUUUAAAGUUCUGUGACAACCAGCAGCAGACGCUCUGGUUGGAUCCUUCAAAGACUCUAUCGCAGCACAAAGAGCUCGCCGGGCCGCCGUACAUUUUCUACUUUGGAGUCAAAUUUUACAUCGAAGAUCCAUCGAAGCUGAACGAGGAAACAACCCGGCGUCAAUUUUACCUCCAACUUUGUCAGGACGUACGUCGAGGUCGCCUGCCGUGUUCCGGCCACCUCAAAGCUCAGCUGUGCGCUCUGAUGCUGCAGGUGGAUCGAGGCAACCACAGCGAGGACAACACGUCAGACGCUGAGGAGAUGCAGGAAGUUCAACUCAUCCGCAAAACGCUCAGUGGCGUCCCUCGCUCUGAGGCUCAGCGCCACUUCCUGUCUGUCUGCGGCUCUCUGCAGAUGUACGGUGUCUCUCUGUUCGCCGCCUAUGGGGAGAACCACACCGAGUACUUCCUGGGUCCAACACCAGUAGGAGUGGUCAUCUUCAAGAACAAAGAGCUGGUGGGAAAAUAUCUGUGGCAGCGAAUCAUUAAACUUCACUUCAAAGCUGAAAAGUUCGAGCUCAGUGUCAGGCAGAAAGGGUUCAGAGACUUCGUUCUUCUUCCAAACAUCCGAUCGCCGCAACUGCAAACGUUUGUGGAAGUGUUGCGUUGAACAUCACACCUUCUUCAGGAUGUCGGAGACAAACCUUGUAACACACAAACUGAAACACAGCAAGAUGUCGGAGACAAACCUUGUAACACACAAACUGAAACACAGCAGGAUGUCGGAGACAAACCUUGUAACACACAAACUGAAACACAGCAAGUAAGCACACACACACGUUUCUGAUGAUGCAUCCUUUUCUUCCA